CUCGCGCAGCAGCAGCAGCAGCAGCAUGGAGGAGCUUUUCCUCUCCGCUCCUCUACAGCGGCUGCACGGUUUCACUGAGGAGAUUCAGGUUUCUACAUAAUGACCUGUGAUUGUGAUGUAAACAGACACUCCUAAAGAUUGGCAAACCACAGCUAUCCAGUGUGGCUCAGCUAAAUCAGACCAACUGACAAAGCAAAGCCAUUGAAGGUAAAUAAAAACGUCUUUCUGUUUGAAUGUGAUCUUUUA
rnacentral:lncRNA from 1 species